rnacentral:rRNA from 1 species
GACGAACGCUGGCGGCGUGCUUAACACAUGCAAGUCGAACGGAAAGGCCCUGCUUUUGUGGGGUGCUCGAGUGGCGAACGGGUGAGUAACACGUGAGUAACCUGCCCUUGACUUUGGUAUAACUUCAGGAAACUGGGGCUAAUACCGGAUAGGAGCUCCUGCUGCAUGGUGGGGGUUGGAAAGUUUCGGCGGUUGGGGAUGGACUCGCGGCUUAUCAGCUUGUUGGUGGGGUAGUGGCUUACCAAGGCUUUGACGGGUAGCCGGCCUGAUAGGGUGACCGGCCACAUGGGGAAUGAGAUAAGGCCAAGACUCCUACGGGAGGAAGAAGGGGGGAAUAUGGAACAAUGGGCGGAAGCAUGAAGCAGCAACGACGCGAGCGGGAUGACGGCCUUCGGGUUGUAAACCGCUUGCGCCUGUGACGAAGCGUGAGUGACGGUAAUGGGUAAAGAAGCACCGGCUAACUACGUG